rnacentral:misc_RNA from 1 species
AACCAUUCUCACCUGCGGCUAGACCUGCGGAGGGAUCAUUACCGAGUGUGAACCCCCCCGUAAAAAAGAGGGGUUACCUCCCGUCCUUUGCUGGGAACCCCUUUCCAACUUGGAAGGAGGUUGUUUUCAGACCCUUCUGCUUCGGUGGGGUAACCCACCGGAACAACCUCAAAAAUAUUCUCAAUUCAAAACCGUUCAGUCCGAGAACUUUUUUGAAAAGCGAAAAAACUUUUAGCAAUG